AUACGUAGGGGGCAAGCGUUAUCCGGAUUUACUGGGUGUAAAGGGAGCGUAGACGGAAGGCCAAGUCUGAUGUGAAAGCCCGCGGCUCAACUGCGGGACUGCAUUGGAAACUGGUCAUCUGGAGUGCAGGAGGGGUAAGCGGAAUUCCUAGUGUAGCGGUGAAAUGCGUAGAUAUUAGGAGGAACACCAGUGGCGAAGGCGGCCUGCUGGACGACAACUGACGCUGAGGCGCGAAAGCGUGGGGAGCAAACAGGAUUAGAUACCCUGGUAGUCCACGCUGUAAACGAUGAAUACUAGGUGUGGGGGGACUGACCCCAUCCGUGCCGCAGUUAACACAAUAAGUAUUCCACCUGGGGAGUACGAUCGCAAGAUUGAAACUCAAAGGAAUUGACGGGG
rnacentral:rRNA from 1 species